CGGAGCCCUGGCAUUUCCUGAGUCAUCUUCAAACGGUGGAGGUUGUAUCUUGCUCGCUAGUUUAAAGUUUUUUCUCUUUGUAAUCGCGAAGACUUUCUUUCGUCGUUCGAGAAGAAACACGAGCCAGAUGCAGUCUCGCCGUUUGAGAUGGCAAUGGGACAGGCGGAGGGAGUUGCUGUUUGCAGUGAUGCUGGUUGUACCACAGGGGAACGGGGAUUCCAUGUUCUAGUCUCUACGCCAUUCACCAGUUUGGUUUGUAAACUGUAUCGGAACCAAUGCAUUCUCUUUGCAAUAUUCUUGUAAUGUUUACCAAUGAUGGAAGUACAAAAUUUGUAAAGGACGUGUUUGAGGAGCAAUUUGAUUUCGGCUAAUUUUACUUUUACAGAAAUACUGCAGUUCCAUUGAUUAAUGUGCAUUUGUAUGAAAGCGUUAUAAUUUUAGAAAACAAAUUUGUACAGUUAUUUUAAAUUAUUUUAUAGAUUUAACGAAUAGUACUGACUGUGUUUAAGUUAUUCCAAAGGAUGAAAAAACUUCGUGCGUAGACUUUGUAUAAUAUGCAGUGUUAAUUUAAAAAUUCUUUUGUAAAUAUUGUGAUACAGCAGAAGAGGAGCAGAGAAUUGAAGGAAUAAAUGUUAAAAAAAAAUAAUUGACAAUUUAUUCUGUACGAUCACUUAAUUCACCAUUAUUAAUACCGAAAAUCCUUUUCAGUCUGGCAUACACCUUACAAAAUUCUAUCGCACUCAAGAGAUCCGCACACAUGUCGUCCAGGCUGUUGCUCGUCAUCGGCGACGUCAUUGGCCUAUCUGUAAAACCAAUAAGAGUGAGAUGAGAGGAGUGGUGGUGAGAGGCAUAUUAGUAUGGGAUGAGGAAAGGGGCGAAGUCUUUGUUUCUAGAAAUUCGCGCAUGAAGCGUUGCGGCUGAGAGUUGCACGGCGAUCAAGUCACACAUAAACACCUUACGUUCGCACUUCUGUAUCUCAACCAAGCAUCCGACUAGUCCCAAAGUCAUCUGGCGCGUGAUACACAGACUCACUACGAAAAACGGCAGCAAACUUGAGCCCUGUUUGGUGAGCUACUCCCUUUUGUCCGUUACCUGUGCAAACGUGUUUUCUCAGGUCCAGAAAAGGUUUAUCCUGAUGCUUGCACCAUCAAGUUAUACACGUGUUCUGCUUAUUGACGUGUACAACGCGAGGUCAACUAAGCCAGGCACCCAAAGAACUGCAUAUUGUCCCAUUUGAAUUAGGAUAAUAGCCCCGAGGUAUGGAGAGAGUAAUUCAUUGCAUGUCUGUCGAAUCGAGACGACCCAGAAAGGCCAGAUACUUAUCGCAAGUAGUACACCUAAUUUUUAUACGAGCAUGCGAAAUCUAAAAAAACGGCUCAAAACCAAUUAGGAAAUUGCUAUAAUUUAAUAAGUGCUACACUGGUUGUAUUUUUGGGGCGUUAUGCCAUUGGAUAAUUAUUUCCACAGAUCUGAGAUCGUUCCUGAAUUUUUCUUCCGGUGCUAGAACAAGAAGAUUUUUGUAAUAUAUGUUCUAGAUCAAUGUAAAAUAACGCUUCUUGACGAGAGGUAUGCAGAAGAGUUAUACGAGGAAAGGAUAGAGGUAUCGGUUCACGUUAUAGUUGAAACUAAUGCAAGAGAUGAAGAACGUACUCGAUAUACUUGGUUUUUUAAGUUUUGGGUAUUGGGAAAGGGGGAGGGGGACAUUUUGAGCAAGUUUUCUUUACCGCAGAAAAUCAUUCGUACAAAAUGGCUGUGUGGAGUUGCCUUUCACUUUUGACAACAAUAGGAAUGCGGUGAUAUAUGGCAGAUUAUGGCAGAUAUAUUUGAACUUCUAAGUUAUAUAACCCGUAAACGAUGUAUUUGAUAUUUUCACGGAAAUGGAACGUUGCAGUAAUUUAAAUACAAGGAAGAAAUGUCAACAUACGAGUCAGAGAUCUUGGAAAUAUAUGCAAAAAGUUAUUCAUUGUACAAUUAUCAUUCAUGAGCUAAAGGUUUGAAUAAUGGACGACUUAAAACGAAUUCGACUCGUAAUUAUUGGAGCGUGGUAUCAAAUAUUACGAUUUUAUACAUAUCGUUUUUAAAUGUUCUCUUCUUGGGGUGAUUCUGUCCGGAUGCCUUUUGUUUUAUACUGCAGGAGUACCUGAAUGAUUCGUAUCUCCGAUGCUCAACUGAAAGCAAACAACUACAGGCAGUCAUUUCUAUUGCUGGAACGUGUCGCGUUCAUGUUACAAAGGUACAACAUAGUAUGCUUUACGUAAAGAUUUGGCAGGUGGGGUCGUAGGGGGGCGGUAAAUAUUAUGUUUCAGCUAAACUGGCUAAAGAGCGCGUGUAAUCAACCCCCCACGCACUUCAUAAUCUUAAAGUAUGCACUUUGUAAUCCUAACUGGAUCCUGAUACAUAAUCAUGCUGAACGUAUUUUGCGGUGAGGAAUUUCCGAUAUUAAGAAAAAAAAUUGCAUUUUUAAAGAGAUACAGGCAUCGUGGAAGAAGGUAACAGUUUAAUAUGAUGAACAAUACACUGUAAAUAUUAGACGUAUUAUGGGGAAAAUGUAGGGGUUUGGGGAUGCACAAUCUUUGUUAUUGUGAGCUACAGGAGCGAUGCCGUUACGUAUCUCUUCUCGCAAUGGACGAAAUCUAUUCGGACGGGAUUACUUGAUAGUGGAAGACCGCCAUUCAUUUUUAUAUUUACGGUGCCAAUGUAAGUCCGUCGAUUUUUCAAUAUAUUCGAUUCUUUAGAAAUAUUCAAGACGAUACGGAGACGAUCGUUUAACGAGAAAAGAAGAGGUUGCGAGGAGAGCAUGUUAUGUGUUGAUUAACCACUUUGAAUUCAAUUUUAAUACUAUCUUCAAUAAGGUAUUUUAGAUCAACCAGGUGACGCAAUCUAAUAUAUUUUUUUUAAUAUAUAUUGAUAGUUUGGAUUCAUUUGUUAUAUUAUAAAUGACUCGUUAGAAAUUUUUAUGCAACUGAUCAUAUUUGUUGAGAGAUAUAUGGCGGGAUGGGAGGGGGGUGUAUAAAACAAUCUUACCUUUUUCCACAGAGAGAGUUUAGCAGAUGCCGUAUGUUUGAAGUUGUUUGGUUGCAAAAUCAACUGAAGCAUGGUAGCAGAGCACGGUAGUGUUAUAAAGCCUUGAAUAUAUAUAUAUAUAUAUAUAUACAUAUAUAUACAUGCAUAUAGCAUUCAAUCUCCAAGUUAGGAUCAUUUAUAUCUUUAAACGAUGAAUGUUCUUUGGGUGUACCCUAUCGGGUGGAUUUUUGUGAUCUUCGCUUCAGAAAAUGCAAGAAAAUAUCGCACCAAAGUAUGAGUUCCAUAUUCAGCCAUUACUCCACAGGAAGACAGUGGCUGUGAUAUACAUCUCUAUACAUGUAUGUAUUGCUUAGAUGAACAAUAUUUUUAUCACACUGUUAGGAAAAGGGAAAUCGUGUACAAUUAGCAGAAUUUUCGAAGCUCUUGAAAAUAUUGAAAACAAUAUUAAUGAAAAAGUACACUUGUGUGGAUGAGUUUUUAUUGUCUGAAGUAUGUAUAUGCAACAAAUCACUACAAAAUGUUAGUUUUCGCUUUAAAAUGAAAAGUAAUGCAUCGAUGAAAGCAAGAAAAUCGACGUCGCCUGCGCUCCUAUUAUCAGGUAACAGUUUCAAAUCAUAAUUUUUUUUUUUUUUAUUGAAUUUUAUCAUUUGGUCCAAAGAAAGAUGUUGUUUUUUUAUAAAUUAAAUUUUAACGAAUUUUAAGAGUGGGGUGUAACUUUUGCAGAUUCGUUAGUCGUUUAGAAUUUUUCCAUCUUGCUAAUACAGAUAUGUUCUGAAAGGAAAUUUGUGAUAAGUGUUAUUGUGACAAGUUUGUUUUUCUUUUUAAAAAAACAUGUGUACUUCUAAUCCACUUGAAAGGAAUGUAUAUAAUUAAAUUAUGCAAGGACUUGGAACAAAGGACUGUUCAAGCUUAUGUUUUUAUAAACUUCAGAAGUAUUUCUCUGAAACUGUAGUUACGCGAACAAGUUCUGGUUUAUUAGUUACGUUUUCAAGUUCAGACAUAGUGUUUAUAUAAGUGCACAAGAAGUCCUCUAAUAGUAUUGCAGUGUAUAUUUGCUAUCUGCUAAUGCGCCUUUUAUAUUGAGUUUAUGUGGUUAUGUGAGAUUCAAGAACACAUUUAUGGAGAAUGCAACAGCUCAAGCUUUUAUGGUGACAAAGCAUAAAAUGAUCGAAUGAUGCUUGGCAUAAAAAACCUACAAGUAUUGGAAACCUAAAGAGUAUGUUAGGAAAUGGCUUUUAAUUGUAGUAAAACUUUGGUGAGUGAAUAAUCGUUCAAUGUAUAUUUCUCUAAAACACAAUGGACAAUUCUUUAGAGUUUGUGAUUAGAAUAUUUUUAUGCCAUUAGUUCGAAAUUUAUGGUGAUGCUCUGAGUGCUAUGUAUUAUGCUUGAUUGCUUUUGUUGAUCCGAAUAUUUCGAAUGUUCUGUAAUUUCUGUUCGUGCAGUUCAUUUUGUAUAACUAUAGAUUGUGUAUAAUUUCAAAUAAAUACCAUUAGUGGGGGUGCGUUGGGGGGGGGGAGGGGGGGGGGUGGUGUAUACUAAUCCUAUGCAAAUUAGCUAUAUUCCAGAGUACAAUGUUCAGCAACAUAGAAACAGAAUUCGAAAGAGAAAAUGAGAAAACGAUUUAACUAAAAAGAAAGGCAAUUUGUAUAUAAAAAAUUUUGGUCGCGUUACGUACGACUAUUGCGAAACAACUACAUUCAAUAUAUCAGUCAACGUUUAAGGUGAAUUGAAUAUUCAAGAAAGCUGCAACAAAUUCCAAAUGAUUCGUUUAAAGAACAUAUCAGUUCAAAGGAUAGAUUGUUCUGUUUCAAAAUCAAGUUCCACCAACACUGUUUUAUUUCAAGUCUUUAGUGUUUCCCCGCCCGAAAAAGCUAACCAAGUGUUUUAGAAACCCGGUUUCGAGUAUGAAUUCGUGCAAAAUAAGGAAGGUGAAUGCACUUCUGGGAAUAUCGAACGAUGGUCAAUUAUUUGAAGUACAAAAUACAGCACUGGUCUUCUAAUCUCCAACUAUCUGCGUAUGGGGUUUGGUCUGUUGGCUUGUCCGUAAUUCUAUUGAUUGUUGGAUAACUCGAAAGCAGUUUGGAAUGGAAUUCCUAAAUGCAUGGCUUUUUUUCCUGUCUUCUGAUGGCGAGAAAUUGGCGGGACAUUAUCCUGUUUGAAACGAAGGAACUACGUCGAGGCUGCUUUCAUCGUACGCGUGUUUGGAGUUGGAGUCACAAACUGGAUCGUUCGUUGCGUUCUUCGAUGGGAUCACGAGUAAUAGUUGCGUGUCAAAUUCGAGUGGACGGCCAUAGGUUUUCUCUUGUGGUUUUCAACAGGCUUUGAAUGGAUAUUUCGCAAUCUGACGCAGCGUAGAGGGUCAUCGAUGCAGAGUUCCAGCAAAAUCGCCCUCUUUUCUUAUUUAAAAAAAUUUAAUUGCUAGAUAUUGUGAUUCCAGUAUGUUGUUUUUUCCAUCGAAUAUUAUCUAGCAAUGCAUUUUCAGUACUUCUAACCUUUGGUUUCGAAUAAUAAAAUAAAAUGUUAACGCUUCAACAAUGCGCAUAAAUGCGUUAUCAAGGAUGUCAAAUUUUUCGAAUUCCAGACUUCAGGAAAUAAGAAUAUGUUUCCACAUUAUUAAAACUGAUGGUAAUAUUGAAUAAUUUUUCAAUAUUUUCGCAACAGUUUUAUGGACAAACUUUGUUGCUAUAUGCAUAAAUGAAAUGAUGGAAACAGAAAUGCAUAACGAAACUGCAUCAACUCGUUGAUAAAAUGCAUAACUGAACUUUUGAGAGUUCCGAAAAAAUGCGCAACGGAUAUUAACAAAGUAUAAAAUAAUAAACUUUACAAAAGUAUGGAACAAAUGCACAACGAAACUUUAAGAAAGUAUUUAAAAAAAAUGUAUAACUAAAUAAUUUGUAAAUGUACGUAGAACUCUCCUGGUUUAUAGAAAAAAUUUGGAAUUUUCAUCACGACUUGAUGUAAAAUUCUAAGUGGUAUGGAUCAUUUUUAUUGUGGAUCAUCGUAAAAGGGAUAAUAGGACUGCAAAACGUUACCGGAGAGAAUUUUGACGAAACUUGUAACCAUCAUGGAAGAUGUUUCAUUUUAAUUAGACAACAUUAUGAGAAAAUCCUACUAAGAGUACAAGAAUAGUAACGGAAACAUCUUGGAAGGAUUUGCAUAAAAAAAAAAUUAUGUCAACGCCGAUCUUCGCGGGACGGAGAAGAAGAGGAUAUCGACGUGGGACUUCGUGGGAUGCAGAAGAAGAGGAUUUCGACGUGGGACUUCCCGGGAUGCAGAAGAAGAGGAUAUCAACGUGGGGACUUUGCGGGAUGCAGAAGAAGAAGAAGAGGAUGAUCAGCGUGGGACUUCAUGGGAUGCGGAAGAAGAUGUCGAGCACCAGGUAUUUUUCGGAUACGGAAGAAGAAUCAACGUGGGACUUUCGGAUGCGGAAGAAGGACACCAACGCGGGGGACUUCGUGGGACGCGGAAGAAGAUGUACUCACCAUAGGACAUCGUGGGAUGCAAAAGACAAAGAAGGAUAUCGAAUCUCAGCACUUCCUGAUGCAGAAAA